rnacentral:misc_RNA from 1 species
AUGCGAUAAGUAAUGUGAAUUGCAGAAUUCAGUGAAUCAUCGAAUCUUUGAACGCACAUUGCGCCCCUUGGUAUUCCGGGGGGCAUGCCUGUUCGAGCGUCAUUAUCACCCCUCAAGCUCAGCUUGGUGUUGGGGCCUGCCCGUCACAGGGCAGCCCUUAAAAGCAGUGGCGGUGCCAUCUGGCUCUACGCGUAGUAAUACUUUUCGCGACAGAGUCCCGGUGGUGUCUUGCCAGAACCCCCCAUAUUUUAAUGAAUUGACCUCGGAUCAGGUAGGGAUACCCGCUGAACUUAA